AUUGAACGCUGGCGGCAUGCCUUACACAUGCAAGUCGAACGGCAGCAUGAUCUAGCUUGCUAGAUUGAUGGCGAGUGGCGAACGGGUGAGUAAUACAUCGGAACGUGCCCUGUAGUGGGGGAUAACUAGUCGAAAGAUUAGCUAAUACCACAUACGACCUGAGGGUGAAAGUGGGGGACCGCAAGGCCUCAUGCUAUAGGAGCGGCCGAUGUCUGAUUAGCUAGUUGGUGAGGUAAAGGCUCACCAAGGCGACGAUCAGUAGCUGGUCUGAGAGGACGAUCAGCCACACUGGGACUGAGACACGGCCCAGACUCCUACGGGAGGCAGCAGUGGGGAAUUUUGGACAAUGGGCGAAAGCCUGAUCCAGCAAUGCCGCGUGUGUGAAGAAGGCCUUCGGGUUGUAAAGCACUUUUGUCCGGAAAGAAAUGGCUCUGGUUAAUACCUGGGGUCGAUGACGGUACCGGAAGAAUAAGGACCGGCUAACUACGUG
rnacentral:rRNA from 1 species